AAAAUUUUAAAACAUUAAUAAAUAUCAUAGGCUUUCAGUAUAGAGAGUAUUUACCGAAAAACAUUAACACAUAGAUUUUGAGAAAAAUUCAAAAUUAUGACAAUACUAUUUUAAUGCAUAAUUGCAUCAUGCACUAACAUAUGAUAUGAUGAAGGUCAAAGAGGUUUAUAACCUUUGUUGUCUCUCUUUUUCUAGAGAAUGACGAUUUUAUGUCGAUGAAUGUCAAUGAAGCUUUUCACCACCACUUUCUUUAAUCCCGCGACCAUUCCCACCACCAGUCCUCUAUCGUCACUGAGCCCAUCACUUCAGUGAUACAUCCAUUUGCGGAGCAUAUAGCAUACUUCAUUCUUUUCGCCAUACCGUUGUUGACAACGUUGUUAACGAGAACGGCAUCCAUAGCGUCGUUCGCCGGAUAUGUAAUGUACAUAGACUUCAUGAACAGCAAGCGACUUUUCCACCUCUUUCCUCCCCUCAAGUUCCUCUACUACCCUCCCUCGUAUGUCCUUACACUUCCUUCUUUCUAUACUGUCCCGAAGAUUAAACUCUUCCUGUGGAAGAUAAUGAAUCAAGCUCUUCCUGUUGGUUCUCAAUUGGCGCUGAGAAACAUUGGAGCCGCGCUAAAUUGUAAGAGAUGCGACAACCCUGAAUCUAUCAAUCAUCUUCUCUUCCACUGUGAGUUUUCCCAAAAGGUUUGGUCUCUAGCCCCCUAUACUCACAGCUUGGACUCUAGAGGACUGGUAGAUUUUGCAUCUUGUUGGGUUACAUUGUGCAAAUUGACAUGUCUCCCACCUGCGGGCAUUACCUUGGGACCGUUAGCUCCAUGGAUCUUAUGGGCCAUCUUCCUCGCAGGCUAAAUGUUUAUGGUUUGUGUGAGUUGAAGGUCUCUAGUGAUGGAAACUGCCAGUUCCGAGCUCUUUCUGACCAGUUGUACCGAUCUUCAGAGUACCACAAGCAAGUUAGGGGAGAAGUUGUUAAACAGCUCAAGGACAAUCGCACUAUAUACGAAAGUUAUGUUCUGAUGAAAUACAAACGGUAUUACAAGAGGAUGGCAAAACUUGGAGAAUGGGAGACCAUAUUACCCUACAAGCUGCGGCAGAUAGGGUAAUUUUCCUUUUUGUCUCAGUUUUCACAGCACUUGUAUUAAUAGUUAAAAUGUACCUAAAUGAUCUUUCCUUUGUUCUCGUAUCAUCUGCUCUAGUUCUGUUGAUGUUUUUUUCCCCUAUCUAGUCUUCUUCAUGUCCUUUGUUUCAUAUGCAUGUUACAUGAAAUAGGUAACACUUUAGCACAUCCUCGAGAAGGCAUGUAAAGUAAUCGCUGACUUUUGUGGCAUUAGGCACUGUUUUCUUUACCUUUUUCUUAACAAUUUUUUCCAUUGCAUCUCCCUUGAAUAGUUUGCAGCAAAGAUAUGCCUGCUGACAUCCUUCAGAGACACUUGCUUCAUUGAAAUUUUGCCUCAAGACCAAGCACCUAAGCGUGGUGAGACUCCAUAAUAUAUUUCUUUUCACCUUCACUCACCGCUACUUGAUCUUAAGUAGCAUAUGGAAAAUGCACUCUUACAAAGUUGUGGCUUUAUAUGUUUGGAAUUGUGCAUUAUAACUCUUUAUACGAUAAUCAAGCGGUUCCAGUUCAGCAGAAGCCAAAGAGAAAACAUUGGUUGUUCUAGAAAGCAAGCCUCUCACAUUGAUAACAUCUUCGAAUUUUAUUCUUUCAGUAUUGUGCAUAAGUCAACAGUUUCAGACGCCGUAACUCUUCCUUCAUACUUGUAUACACACGAACUUGCUUGAGCUAUAACAUUUUUAAGCCAAACAAAAUAUUACCCAACGAAUAUAUAUACACUUUUUAGUCUUGGUA